UACAUGGGGUGCAAACGUUGCUCGGAAUUAUUGGGCGUAAAGCGCACGUAGGCGGUUCGUUAAGUCAGACGUGAAAUCCCUCAGCUUAACUGGGGAACUGCGUCUGAUACUGGAUGGCUUGGAUUCGGGAGAGGAAUGCGGAAUUCCAGGUGUAGCGGUGAAAUGCGUAGAUAUCUGGAGGAACACCGGUGGCGAAGGCGGCAUUCUGGACCGAUAUUGACGCUGAGGAGCGAAAGCCAGGGGAGCAAACGGG
rnacentral:rRNA from 1 species